rnacentral:rRNA from 1 species
GAUGAACGCUAGCGGGAGGCUUAAUACAUGCAAGUCGAGGGGUAACGAUGGAGCUUGCUCCAGGCGACGACCGGCGCACGGGUGAGUAACGCGUACACAAUCUACCUUUAACAGGAGGAUAGCCUUUGGAAACGAAGAUUAAUACUCCAUGUGAUUAUGGAAUCUCAUGAUUUUAUAAUUAAAGCUCCGGCGGUUAAAGAUGAGUGUGCGUCCUAUUAGAUAGUUGGUGAGGUAACGGCUCACCAAGUCAGCGAUAGGUAGGGGGCGUGAGAGCGUGACCCCCCACACGGGUACUGAGACACGGACCCGACUCCUACGGGAGGCAGCAGUAAGGAAUAUUGGACAAUGGGGGCAACCCUGAUCCAGCCAUCCCGCGUGAAGGAUGACAGCCCUAUGGGUCGUAAACUUCUUUUAUAUGGGAAGAAAAGUGUUAAUUUAUUAGCACCUGACGGUACCAUACGAAUAAGCACCGGCUAACUCCG